UACAGAGGGUGCGAGCGUUGUCCGGAAUCACUGGGCGUAAAGGGCGCGUAGGUGGCGCCGCAAGUCCAUGGUGAAAGCUCGAUGCUCAACAUCGAGUCGGCCACGGAGACUGCGGGGCUCGAGCACUGUAGGGGCAGAUGGAAUUCCGGGUGUAGCGGUGGAAUGCGUAGAGAUCCGGAAGAACACCGGUGGCGAAGGCGGUUGCCUGGAGCUUUGCUGACGCUGAGGCGCGAAAGCGUGGGGAGCGAUCCGG
rnacentral:rRNA from 1 species